GCUCGAGUGGCGAACGGGUGAGUAACACGUGAGUAACCUGCCCUUGACUUUGGGAUAACUUCAGGAAACUGGGGCUAAUACCGGAUAGGAGCUCCUGCUGCAUGGUGGGGGUUGGAAAGUUUCGGCGGUUGGGUAUGGACUCGCGGCUUAUCAGCUUGUUGGUGGGGUAGUGGCUUACCAAGGCCUUGACGGGUAGCCGGCCUGAGAGGGUGACCGGCCACAUUGGGACUGAGAUACGGCCCAG
rnacentral:rRNA from 1 species